ACAGCAGCCGCCGCGGUAAUACGAAGGGGGCUAGCGUUGCUCGGAAUCACUGGGCGUAAAGGGUGCGUAGGCGGGUCUUUAAGUCAGGGGUGAAAUCCUGGAGCUCAACUCCAGAACUGCCUUUGAUACUGAAGAUCUUGAGUUCGGGAGAGGUGAGUGGAACUGCGAGUGUAGAAGUGAAAUUCGUAGAUAUUCGCAAGAACACCAGUGGCGAAGGCGGCUCACUGGCCCGAUACUGACGCUGAGGCACGAAAGCGUGGGGAGCAAACAGGAUUAGAUACCCCCGUAGUCCCUGUCUCUUAUAA
rnacentral:rRNA from 1 species